GCACCUGCAAAAUCAGGUGUCGGGAUUGGCGUCCUGAUUACACACAUAUGGAAAGAUGUUGCUCAACGCAACGUCACU
rnacentral:sRNA from 2 species